CAAUUUUUGGAGGUUUUCUCACAAUUUAUAAGUUGGAUUGGACUAAAAAUUCUUGAGCAUAUAGAAGACUUACAUUGACAAUUGCAUGCAAAAUUCUACAUUAAGUGGACGGUCGGAUUGGAUGUUAUAGCUUAUUAAAGCUCACUGAUUAGGAUUGGGGCUUACAAGAAAAUUCUAAUUUGCUUAAAUAUGAAAGUAACAAGUUAAUUGGGAUUUAUAUAUGGUUAAGACUACUAAGAAGAGUGUUUUAAGCACUUUUGAAUUGAAAUUCAGAUUAUAUUCUUCUCAUAUGGGUAAAACUUAUUAGGAUUUCUUAGCUACUUGUGAUACAUAAUCUCACCUUCCAUAGCUAAGUGUCCAGUGUAUUCCUGAGCAAAACAACACAUAAUACGACAUUAAUGGUGAACCCAACAUGAAAGUUUGGGGUGGAAGGUAUUGGAUUAUAUUUGUGGUUAUUUGGAAUUGAUGGCACAAGAAGACAAGAAAGUUGAAUUUCGACUU
rnacentral:lncRNA from 1 species